rnacentral:rRNA from 1 species
GUGCACCAGGCGCGAAAACUUUACAAUGCGGGCAACCGCGAUAAGGGGACCUCGAGUGCUGGGUUACAAACCUGGCUGUUGGGCUGCCUAAAAAGCAGUCUAUAGCAAGGGCCGGGCAAGACCGGUGCCAGCCGCCGCGGUAACACCGGCGGCUCGAGUGGUAACCGCUAUUAUUGGGUCUAAAGGGUCUGUAGCCGGCCGACUAAGUCUCUUGGGAAAUCUGGCAUCUCAAGUGUCAGGCUGCCAGGGGAUACUGGUCGGCUUGGGACCGGGAGAGGUGAGAGGUACCUCGGGGGUAGGGGUGAAAUCUUGUAAUCCUCGAGGGACCACCAGUGGCGAAGGCGUCUCACCAGAACGGAUCCGACGGCAAGGGACGAAAGCUAGGGGCACGAACCGGAUUAGAUACCCACGUAGUCC